UACCCGCUGAACUUAAGCAUAUCAAUAAGCCGGAGGAAAGAAACUAACAAGGAUUCCCCUAGUAACUGCGAGUGAAGCGGGAAAAGCUCAAAUUUGAAAUCUGGCAGUCUUUUUUUUCUUCUUUGGCUGUCCGAGUUGUAAUCUAGAGAAGUGCUUACCUGCACUGGACCAUGUAUAAGUCUCCUGGAAUGGAGCGUCGCAGAGGGUGAGAAUCCCGUCUUUGACAUGGACUGCCAGUGUGUUGUGGUGUGCUCUCAAAGAGUCGAGUUGUUUGGGAAUGCAGCUCUAAAUGGGUGGUAAACUCCAUCUAAAGCUAAAUAUUGGCGAGAGACCGAUAGUGAACAAGUACCGUGAGGGAAAGAUGAAAAGGACUUUGGAAAGAGAGUUAAACAGUAUGUGAAAUUGUUGAAAGGGAAACGCUUGAAGUCAGUUAUGUUGGCUAGGGAUCAACCUAGCUACUUUUGCUGGGUGAAUUUCCUAGUCUUACAGGCCAACAUCAGUCUUGACUGCUGGAAAAGAGCAGAGGGAAUGUGGCACCUUCGGGUGUGUUAUAGCCCUUCGUCAUAUGUGGCAGUCGGGACUGAGGGAUGCAGCAUGCCGCGAGGCUGGGUUUCUGACCACGUUCAUGCUUAGGAUGUUGGCUUUUAAUGGCUUCAAUCGACCCGUCUUGAAACACGGACCAAGGAGUCUAACAUGCCUGCGAGUGUUUGGGUGGGGAAAACCCUUGUGCACAAUGAAAGUGAAAGUUGAGAUCCCUGUCAUGGGGAGCAUCGACGCCCGGACUUGAGCUUUUAGCGACGGAUCCGCGGUAGAGCAUGCAUGUUGGGACCCGAAAGAUGGUGAACUAUGCCUGAAUAGGGCAAAGCCAGAGGAAACUCUGGUGGAGGCUCGUAGCGAUUCUGACGUGCAAAUCGAUCGUCAAAUUUGGGUAUAGGGGCGAAAGACUAAUCGAA
rnacentral:rRNA from 1 species